UUGCUCUUCUUGGAUGAGUUGCGAACGGGUGAGUAACGCGUAGGUAACCUGCCUUGUAGCGGGGGAUAACUAUUGGAAACGAUAGCUAAUACCGCAUAACAAUGGAUGACACAUGUCAUUUAUUUGAAAGGGGCAAUUGCUCCACUACAAGAUGGACCUGCGUUGUAUUAGCUAGUAGGUGAGGUAAUGGCUCACCUAGGCGACGAUACAUAGCCGACCUGAGAGGGUGAUCGGCCACACUGGGACUGAGACACGGCCCAGACUCCUACGGGAGGCAGCAGUAGGGAAUCUUCGGCAAUGGGGGCAACCCUGACCGAGCAACGCCGCGUGAGUGAAGAAGGUUUUCGGAUCGUAAAGCUCUGUUGUAAGUCAAGAACGGGUGUGAGAGUGGAAAGUUCACACUGUGACGGUAGCUUACCAGAAAGGGACGGCUAACUACGUGCCAGCAGCCGCGGUAAUACGUAGGUCCCGAGCGUUGUCCGGAUUUAUUGGGCGUAAAGCGAGCGCAGGCGGUUUGAUAAGUCUGAAGUUAAAGGCUGUGGCUCAACCAUAGUUCGCUUUGGAAACUGUCAAACUUGAGUGCAGAAGGGGAGAGUGGAAUUCCAUGUGUAGCGGUGAAAUGCGUAGAUAUAUGGAGGAACACCGGGUGGCGAAAGCGGCUCUCUGGUCUGUAACUGACGCUGAGGCUCGAAAGCGUGGGGAGCGAACAGGAUUAGAUACCCUGGUAGUCCACGCCGUAAACGAUGAGUGCUAGGUGUUGGAUCCUUUCCGGGAUUCAGUGCCGCAGCUAACGCAUUAAGCACUCCGCCUGGGGAGUACGACCGCAAGGUUGAAACUCAAAGGAAUUGACGGGGGCCCGCACAAGCGGUGGAGCAUGUGGUUUAAUUCGAAGCAACGCGAAGAACCUUACCAGGUCUUGACAUCCCGAUGCUAUUUCUAGAGAUAGAAAGUUACUUCGGUACAUCGGUGACAGGUGGUGCAUGGUUGUCGUCAGCUCGUGUCGUGAGAUGUUGGGUUAAGUCCCGCAACGAGCGCAACCCCUAUUGUUAGUUGCCAUCAUUCAGUUGGGCACUCUAGCGAGACUGCCGGUAAUAAACCGGAGGAAGGUGGGGAUGACGUCAAAUCAUCAUGCCCCUUAUGACCUGGGCUACACACGUGCUACAAUGGUUGGUACAACGAGUUGCGAGUCGGUGACGGCGAGCUAAUCUCUUAAAGCCAAUCUCAGUUCGGAUUGUAGGCUGCAACUCGCCUACAUGAAGUCGGAAUCGCUAGUAAUCGCGGAUCAGCACGCCGCGGUGAAUACGUUCCCGGGCCUUGUACACACCGCCCGUCACACCACGAGAGUUUGUAACACCCGAA
rnacentral:rRNA from 1 species